UUGAUUCUCUGCAUGGUGUUAGGCCGGAGAUGUCGGCGACAGCGGGGAGUGGUGAUGAGAUGAGGAUUGAUGAGAGUGCUAGUGCUGCUGAGAAUGCUUUUAGAUUUGAGUUUACAUCGUUGGUUGGUUUUUCUUGGUUUGUGCUGCAGUGGAUGAUGUUGGUUGAGAGUUUUGGUUUUUGAGGUAAUUUUGGUCUUAGGGUUGAGGUGGGUUUGGAGAGGUUAGUUGGAAUUGUUAGAGACAUUUUUGUGUGGAAGAAGAAGAGAAGAGGGAGUGAAGGGUGUUGGAUUUGAUUUGUGU
rnacentral:lncRNA from 1 species